rnacentral:SRP_RNA from 2 species
GCCGGGCAUGGUGGCUCAUGCCUGUAAUCCUAGCACUUUGGGAGGCUGAGGUGGGCGGAUCACUUGAGGUCAGGAGUUUGAGACCACCUGACCAACAUGGUGAAACCCCGUCUCUA